UACGUAGGGAGCAAGCGUUGUCCGGAAUCAUUGGGCGUAAAGGGUGCGUAGGUGGCGCCGUAAGUCAGGUGUGAAAUUUCGGAGCUUAACUCCGAAACUGCAUUCGAUACUGCGGUGCUUGAGGACUGGAGAGGAGACUGGAAUUCAUGGUGUAGCAGUGAAAUGCGUAGAGAUCAUGAGGAAGACCAGUGGCGAAGGCGGGUCUCUGGACAGUUCCUGACACUGAGGCACGAAGGCCAGGGGAGCAAACGGG
rnacentral:rRNA from 1 species